rnacentral:rRNA from 1 species
GCUUACGGCAACACCUCCCUGAGCACUGCCCGAUCUCGUCUGAUCUCUGAAGCUAAGCAGGGUCGGGCCCGGUUAGUACUUGGAUGGGAUACCGCCUGGGAAUACCAGUGCUGUAAGCC